GACGAACGCUGGCGGCGUGCUUAACACAUGCAAGUCGAACGGAAAGGCCCUGCUUUUGUGGGGUGCUCGAGUGGCGAACGGGUGAGUAACACGUGAGUAACCUGCCCUUGACUUUGGGAUAACUUCAGGAAACUGGGGCUAAUACCGGAUAGGAGCUCCUGCUGCAUGGUGGGGGUUGGAAAGUUUCGGCGGUUGGGGAUGGACUCGCGGCUUAUCAGCUUGUUGGUGGGGUAGUGGCUUACCAAGGCUUUGACGGGUAGCCGGCCUGAGAGGGUGACCGGCCACAUUGGGACUGAGAUACGGCCCAGACUCCUACGGGAGGCAGCAGUGGGGAAUAUUGCACAAUGGGCGGAAGCCUGAUGCAGCAACGCCGCGUGCGGGAUGACGGCCUUCGGGUUGUAAACCGCUUUCGCCUGUGACGAAGCGUGAGUGACGGUAAUGGGUAAAGAAGCACCGGCUAACUACGUGCCAGCAGCCGCGGUGAUACGUAGGGUGCGAGCGUUGUCCGGAUUUAUUGGGCGUAAAGGGCUCGUAGGUGGUUGAUCGCGUCGGAAGUGUAAUCUUGGGGCUUAACCCUGAGCGUGCUUUCGAUACGGGUUGACUUGAGGAAGGUAGGGGAGAAUGGAAUUCCUGGUGGAGCGGUGGAAUGCGCAGAUAUCAGGAGGAACACCAGUGGCGAAGGCGGUUCUCUGGGCCUUUCCUGACGCUGAGGAGCGAAAGCGUGGGGAGCGAACAGGCUUAGAUACCCCGGUAGUCCACGCUGUAAACGGUGGGUACUAGGUGUGGGGUCCAUUCCACGGGUUCCGUGCCGUAGCUAACGCUUUAAGUACCCCGCCUGGGGAGUACGGCCGCAAGGCUAAAACUCAAAGGAAUUGACGGGGCCCCGCACAAGCGGCGGAGCAUGCGGAUUAAUUCGAUGCAACGCGUAGAACCUUACCUGGGUUUGACAUGGAUCGGGAGUGCUCAGAGAUGGGUGUGCCUCUUUUGGGGUCGGUUCACAGGUGGUGCAUGGCUGUCGUCAGCUCGUGUCGUGAGAUGUUGGGUUAAGUCCCGCAACGAGCGCAACCCUUGUUCACUGUUGCCAGCACGUUAUGGUGGGGACUCAGUGGAGACCGCCGGGGUCAACUCGGAGGAAGGUGGGGAUGACGUCAAGUCAUCAUGCCCCUUAUGUCCAGGGCUUCACGCAUGCUACAAUGGCUGGUACAGAGAGUGGCGAGCCUGUGAGGGUGAGCGAAUCUCGGAAAGCCGGUCUCAGUUCGGAUUGGGGUCUGCAACUCGACCUCAUGAAGUCGGAGUCGCUAGUAAUCGCAGAUCAGCAACGCUGCGGUGAAUACGUUCCCGGG
rnacentral:rRNA from 1 species